rnacentral:rRNA from 1 species
GAUGAACGCUGGCGGCAUGCCUAACACAUGCAAGUCGAUCGGUAAGGCUCUUCGGAGUACACGAGAGGCGGACGGCUGAGUAACGCGUAGGAACACACCCUGCAGUGAGGGAUAAGACACCGAAAGGUGUUCUAAUACCGCAUACGGUCUUCGGAUUAAAGCAUUUAUGCGCUGAAGGAGUGGCCUGCGUCAUAUUAGAUAGUUGGUGAGGUAUGGCUCACCAAGUCGAUGAUGUGUAGCUGGUCUGAGAGGAUGAUCAGCCAGACUGGAACUGAGACACGGUCCAGACUCCUACGGGAGGCAGCAGUUAGGAAUAUUUCACAAUGAGCGAAAGCUUGAUGGAGCAAUGCCGCGUGCAGGAUGAAGGCCCUCGGGUUGUAAACUGCUUUUAUAAGAGAAGAUUAUGACGGUAACUUAUGAAUAAGGGACGGCUAACUACGUG